rnacentral:rRNA from 1 species
GUAGCGGAGCAUGUGGUUUAAUUCGAAGCAACGCGAAGAACCUUACCUAAGCUUGACAUCCCAAUGACAUCUCCUUAAUCGGAGAGUUCCCUUCGGGGACAUUGGUGACAGGUGGUGCAUGGUUGUCGUCAGCUCGUGUCGUGAGAUGUUGGGUUAAGUCCCGCAACGAGCGCAACCCUUGUCUUUAGUUGCCAUCAUUACGUUGGGCACUCUAGAGAGACUGCCAGGGAUAACCUGGAGGAAGGUGGGGAUGACGUCAAAUCAUCAUGCCCCUUAUGCUUAGGGCUACACACGUGCUACAAUGGGUAGUACAGAGGGUUGCCAAGCCGUAAGGUGGAGCUAAUCCCUUAAAGCUACUCUCAGUUCGGAUUGUAGGCUGAAACUCGCCUACAUGAAGCUGGAGUUACUAGUAAUCGCAGAUCAGAAUGCUGCGGUGAAUGCGUUCCCGGGUCUUGUACACACCGCCCGUCACACCACGGGAGUUGGAGACGCCCGAAGCCGAUUAUCUAACCUUUUGGAAGAAGUCGUCGAAGGUGGAAUCAAUAACUGGGGUGAAGUCGUAACAAGGUAGCCGUAUCGGAAGGUGCGGCUGGAUCACCUCCUUUCUAAGGA